GCUUAGGGUCCGUUCACACAGACCGGCUCGGAGAGCAUCGGCCUGCUUUUUUCUUUUCACACAGACCGGGUCGUAUACGCUUGGAAUUGGCCGGAGCGGAGCCGCCAACUAUUUCACAUCGACCGGCUGGAAGAGAUCUGAAAGCGGGUGCGGUUGGAUCCGAGCCGAUCGGCUGCGCGAGCGAGAAAGAGCACGCAAGCGGAGCCGGUCGGCUCCUUUUAUUACUUCACACGAAGCGCGUUCAGGCAUUUUUAAUGACAAAAAAGGUGCAAAUGCAAAAAUAAACUUUACUACAAUCACUCAAAACACUGUUUCCAACGUGAUAAAAAUCUGCUCUCCUCUCCGAGCCGGUCUGUGUGAACGGACCCU